GCGUGUUGUGGGGAAGGAGCAGGGGCAGAACCUGGCCAGACAGUGGAGCAGCUGUGCUUUCCCUGAGUCCUCUGCAAAGUCCAAGAUCAACGUCAACGAGAUCUUCUAUGACCUGGUCAGGCAAAUCAACAGGAAAACCCCAGUACCUGGGAAGACACGCAAAGUCCAACUGUCAGCUCCUCUAAUGCACAGCUGCUCUGUCGCACUGAGCCAGGUCUGAUUUGCUGCUGUCUCUCUCAGCAGUGCCAGCAUUCCGACGUUACUAAAACCUAACAUGGAAUGGACUUUCCUGUGUGUGACGCCCCUUUAACAUCAACAACCAACCAACAAACCGACCAACGGAUUCAAAGCUACAAUACAUCAGUUUUUACACACAGAUUAACCAUUAUCACUCUCCAGUGUCACGAGAACAAGAUUUCUACUUAGAAAUAUAGAUAUUCUAACUGUAUCAAACUGAAAUGGAAAAAUUAAGUGAGGUAAAUCAGUCAAUAUGAACCAAAAUAAAAUCCCGAUCCCUA